UUGCAGGGUGUCCAAGAACUGGUCUCUGGUGUCUCGGGCUGCUUCCUCCAGCUGAUCACCAUUCAGAACCUGCAGUAUCAUCUCUGCCAUGGCUGCGAGCACAGCAUUGCGCAUCAUGUAAUUCUGAGAGAGAAAUAAAGAAGGAAGUGCUAUAGUGAUAAGACCAGACAACUUGACUUCAUGUGAAAGCCACCUCCUUGUCUGUUUCAACACAAUAGCCAAAACAGCCCUGUUAAAGACCAAGUAAGAACACCUGUUGUCCUGCUCAGAACCCUUGCCUUGAGGAAUCCCAUCUCAUGGAGAAAAUGCCAAUUACCAUGAUGGCUUACAAGCAUCUGCACAGUUUGGCUCCAACUGCCCCCCCCCCCCCCCCCUAUAACCUAUCCCUCUCUCUGGCCUCAUUGCUAAUCCUUGUACAUCUGGACACCUCCCUCCUCAGGGGCUUUGCCCUUGCUCUUCC